UAUUAAAACUUGAACUAAUGCAUUGUGAGUCUUAUAAAUUGCUUACAUACCUCACCGAUUUCCCACUGUCUGGAAAACGCUCGGUUUAGUUCCUGUCUCCGCCUCCCAAAAUGUCUAGUGUAAUCGGAUUGGUCAGAUGACUACUCAACUGUUAUUGGUCAGCUGGGUUCGGCUUGUGUUUGAAAGGUUACGCCCCUGACUACGCAUGGGUUGACACAGAUUCUGACUGAGAGUCACAGCCUCAGAGGCAUCGUAAACAAGCGUUAUAUUUCUCUAUAAACGAUGGUGUCUGUACUGCCUUACCACUUCGAGCUCGAUCCAGAGAGUUCAGAAGGCCGUUACGAUAUAAACGAUCUCCGUCAAUGAAUGCGAUUGGAUUUAACUUUUUUAGGUGUCCUUAGCUCUGCCAGAAUGCUAAACGAAGACGAAAAUGUGUUGCAAAGACAUCCAAAAGGUUUUAAGGAGAAUGCAACAUGUUCCAGGGCCUCUUACCUGCGUGAUUCAUCAUCCAGAUACGCUUGGAGCUUCCUGAUCGGAAUGUUGGCUUCCGACGACCCCUGCACUGAAGAUGGCAUGCAAUCACGUCCUCCUUUGAAGGUCUCUCAAACUGUGAUGCCA